GGGUGGUAAUGCCGGAUGCUCCAUCACACCGCAUGGUGUGUUGGGAAAGCCUUUGCGGCAUGGGAUGGGGUCGCGUCCUAUCAGCUUGAUGGCGGGGUAACGGCCCACCAUGGCUUCGACGGGUAGCCGGCCUGAGAGGGCGACCGGCCACAUUGGGACUGAGAUACGGCCCAGACUCCUACGGGAGGCAGCAGUGGGGAAUAUUGCACAAUGGGCGCAAGCCUGAUGCAGCGACGCCGCGUGAGGGAUGGAGGCCUUCGGGUUGUAAACCUCUUUUGUUAGGGAGCAAGGCAUUUUUGUGUUGAGUGUACCUUUCGAAUAAGCACCGGCUAACUACGUGCCAGCAGCCGCGGUAAUACGUAGGGUGCAAGCGUUAUCCGGAAUUAUUGGGCGUAAAGGGCUCGUAGGCGGUUCGUCGCGUCCGGUGUGAAAGUCCAUCGCUUAACGGUGGAUCCGCGCCGGGUACGGGCGGGCUUGAGUGCGGUAGGGGAGACUGGAAUUCCCGGUGUAACGGUGGAAUGUGUAGAUAUCGGAAAA
rnacentral:rRNA from 1 species